rnacentral:lncRNA from 1 species
CUAAAAGCACUUUUAGCACUAUAUAGUUUACUAACACUUACCUGCUUUUUACAUAACAAUUUCUUUUCACAACAUAGUAUAAGCAGUUUUGAAAAGAAAAAAAAACCACAACUCCAAACUAACCCUAAAUGUGUAUGUGGCACUCGUAUUUCUUUGUAACUUAAAUGCGAAACAAUAUUCUUUUUUUCUUUUGGAACAAAUGUGGAACAAUAUUCUAACCAAAAGGAAAAGGCAUAGCACAAGUACUUCAACGAAAAGUGCUUCUCUUUAUGAAAUUGCACUUACUUUUUUUCCAUAGAAAAAGUUUAUGGCAAGUGGCUUAAGUCUUAAGAUGCUUGAAUUAAUUUGUAAUUGGCUUUUUGCUAAGUGAUCUUUAAUUAGUGCAUGAAAUGAUUUCCACUUAAAAAUAAAAAUAAAAAUCGUACCUAUUACUGUAUAAUAUGACUUGAUCAUCAUCAAAUCGUAGCCUAAAUAAACAAGCCUUGAAUUAAGGUCAUCAUUAUUGGAGUGUAAUUAUUUUUUAAUGAAAGUAGUAUAUAAUACUCUAAUUAUUAUAUUAUGGUUGAAUAUAAUAUAUAAUAAACGAAACAUCGCAUAAUUAAGACAAGACGUCAUCACCGAAUUGAUUAAUCAAGUUACUAUUGGAUGACACGCAACCCCUAUAUUAUAAACAAAAUAUAACAAAUAUUAUCAGUCAAUAAUUUGGAGUCACCCUCCUCAAAUUGAAUAUGUUCAUGCCUAUUCUGUGAACACGAAUAAAGUAAAAAUAAAACCAAUUCUAGUGUUAAUUGGAUGAUUUAGACCACAUUUUAGCCAUCAAAAUAUAAUAUUCUCCUGGAAGCCAGCCAAAAGGACGUAAUAUUCCCAUGGGUUAUUGUGAACUCAUUUGCUCGAAUCAAAACUUAUGCUUCCGUUGCUGUCCAAAUGAAUUUGGUAGCUAAACAAGUUAGAUACAGAUAAUGUGGAUUAGAUCAGUUGACUUAAUUAAAUUCAACUUUAUCAAAAUGAAUUUGGUAGCUAAUUAAGUUAGGUCCAAGUAUAUCAAAUUUAUAUAAGUUAAUGAGGAUAACACCUUAGUUUAGCUUAAGCUCAAGUUUAAAAUCAAUCAAAGUUGUUUUGUAUUUAAUUAAAUAAAAGACCAAUUAGAAAUGAUUUUUGCAGAUCAUUUAUCUUCUACCAUAUAAUACGUUUGUUUUCUUCUAUUAAUUAUUAUGUGCUUUAUUCGACCCAAAAGUUGAAAAUAAACAACGCGUGCAUGAAAAGAAAAAAGACGGGCCUAAAAAUCAUCUUACGAAAUCAAUAAUUACAGGUUUAAUAAUCUACAAAAGAAAAGAAAGCAAAGAAAGACCGAUUGACCGGACCGACUUGGGCAUUCACAUUUUCCUUCUUUCUAUUUUCUACACAGCGCGAAUCCUAUCGCUUUCAUAAGCAAAGCGUGAAGUUUGCUUUGCCGUUCAACGUUCAACUAAUUUCACAAACUACAGUGGGUCCCCCCCCACUCACGAUACCAAUCCAAUAAAACGCGAUACGCGAGCGGCGAUUUUUCGCACUUGGUUGUCGCGU